rnacentral:lncRNA from 1 species
GUUCGGUGAUCUUCCUCAACACGUAGUAUGACUUCAGUGCACACGACACAGUAUAUGCCCCCCUGGAGACCGACAACAGAACAACAGUUCCACAAGCAUGAGCACACUUGAAUUCAGGUGAGAGUGUGACUACUCCCAUUCCUGUCACGUAGAAAGAAGAAAACUCCCGUUUCGUACAGAAAUUCCAUGAGAAGCAAAAUGGCGCCACGUCGUAUUAUUUGUAUUCUUCGUUCUACGAAUCAGCAAAACCAGAUCACGACUCGGACACGAUUCACAUGGAGCACCUAUCUCACGCUUUUUCGACGCGGUAGCCAGGCUGCCUCUCUUCCUCAUCACUUAUUUAAGACGCCCAUCUGGGUUAAAAAGUCGUGACCGAACAAUGACCGGCGGUAUGUAAGGCCUUCCACAGCGUAGCCGGUGCCAAAUACAUCAAAAGGCAGCCACCUCAUCACCGGUGCCCAAAAUUGCUUUUCAGGCAUCGAUCUCACAACGUAGGGCUUCGGCAGGAAAAAGAUUUUGGGACCCAUAUGAUAAACAAGUACACCACGCUGCUGUGUAUUGAGCAAAGAGAGAGAAGACAUUUGCUGUUCAAAGUUGAGAGUUAAUAGUAUUUUAUUGGCUGGAGGAAUUGGGCAUCGUGUUCUUACUUGCUCCGAUGCCAUGAAAAUUUUGUUGGGGCACCGGCCUCACAACGUGAGGGCACCGGCUAUCGGUGCCAGAAGUUAAUUUGGCACCUCUUUUGGCCUACAUAAUGGAAGGUCUAAGAGGUGGGUUUGAGAGAUCGGUAGUAGAUGCUCUUAAUAAGCUAGUACUAGAAGAAGAACAUGUAUAGGGGAGGAAGGGGACAUAAGUGAAUCCCGAACGGAAGCACGUACCUGCGGGUGAUGGCCGAGUCGAGAAGCACGGUCGACGUUCGUGAUCGAGUUGGCGCCGUGCCGGAGCUAAUUCAAGGGAAUGCCGCCGCCUUCCAACCGGAGACGAGACUGUAUUAUGUGGCUGACAACCUGCGCAGCUUUCAAACAUGGUGGCUCCUUUUGGAAAAGGCUCGGAGUGGAGACCCCAACCGUGUCACUCGUGUCAUACAUAUGCACCUUACAAAGGGCUGCGAGCUUUACUACACAGAUGUGUUGGGUGUACAUUUGGUUUUAACAAAUUUGAGACCUUAUCUUUUUUUUUGUUGGGUUUGCUGCUUUUAUGUCAUUUUAAAUACAUAUGUGUAUGCUGUCAAUACACUAUAGAUUAACAUACACUAGUGUCAAAAACGCUUUUAUAUUAUAAAACGGAGGGAGUAGUCUGAUUUUCUCAACACGUAAAUUUUUUUUUAAAUGGAGGCAAAAGAUUUGGCUCAUUCAUUAAUUAAGCAGAAAAGAACUGCCCAGUUAAUUAAUGAAAAACCAGGCGAAAAUCAUCACAAACUACUGAGUGACACCAAUGAAAGACCUACACGCGCCACUCACAAGAGGGCCUCGUCAAGACUGCACGUCGACAUCAUCGCCAUCACUUCUCCCCUAGAGGCAUCAUUGCCAUCCCAAACUAUGAGAAACGACUCCAACUUCACCUCAAGAGGGCCUCGUCAAGACCGCACCUCGAGCGUCAUCACCAUCACUUCUCCCCUAGAGGUGUCAUCGCCAUCCCAAACUCUGAAAAACAACUCUGACUUCGCCAAAGGCGAUCAUCAAACCAACCCACCCUGAAUAGGCCGUGCGGAAUCACAUGAAGAUCCACAUCGGACCUCAGCCACAACAACAAGAAAGCACAGCUCUAACACCAACAGAGAGCUACGAAUAAACCAAGCAGCUGUGAAGUCGAAGCUACAGUGGCAGGGCCUGGUGGCAUAUGCUGACGAGUAGGUGGUCCGUUCGGUGAUCUUCCUCAACACGUAGUAUGACUUCAGUGCACAUGACACAGUAUAUGCCCCCCUGGAGACCGACAACUGAACAACAGUUCCACAAGCAUGAGCACACUUGAAUUCAGGUGAGAGUGUGACCACUCCCAUUCCUGUCACGUAGAAAGAAGAAAACUCCCGUUUCGUACAGAAAUUCCAUGAGAAGCAAACUGGCGCCACGUCGUAUUAUUUGUAUUCUUCGUUCUACGAAUCAACAAAACCAGAUCACGACUCGGACACGAUUCACAUGGAGCACCUAUCUCACGCUUUUUCGACGUGGUAGCCAGGUUGCCUCUCUUCCUCAUCACUUAUUUAAGACGCCCGUCUGGGUUAAAAAAUCGUGACCGAACAAUGACCGGCGGUAUGUAAGGCCUUCCACAGCGUAGCCGGUGCCAAAUACAUCAAAAGGCAGCCACCUCAUCACCGGUGCCCAAAAUUGCUUUUCAGGCAUCGAUCUCACAACGUAGGGCUUCGGCAGGAAAAAGAUUUUGGGACCCAUAUGAUAAACAAGUACACCACGCUGCUGUGUAUUGAGCAAAGAGAGAAGACAUUUGCUGUUCAAAGUUGAGAGUUAAUAGUAUUUUAUUGGCUGGAGGAAUUGGGCAUCGUGUUCUUACUUGCUCCGAUGCCAUGAAAAUUUUGUUGGGGCACCGGCCUCACAACAUGAGGGCACCGGCUAUCGGAGCCAGAAGUUAAUUUGGCACCUCUUUUGGCCUACAUAAUGGAAGGUCUAAGAGGUGGGUUUGAGAGAUCGGUUGUAGAUGCUCUUAAUAAGCUAGUACUAGAAGAAGAACAUGUAUAGGGGAGGAAGGGGACAUAAGUGAAUCCCGAACGGAAGCACGUACCUGCGGGUGAUGGCCGAGUCGAGAAACACGGUCGACGUUCGUGAUCGAGUUGGCGCCGUGCCGGAGCUAAUUCAAGGGAAUGCCGCCGCCUUCCAACCGGAGACGAGACUGUAUUAUGUGGCUGACAACCUGCGUAGCUUUCAAACAUGGUGGCUCCUUUUGGAAAAGGCUCGGAGUGGAGACCCCAACCGUGUCACUCGUGUCAUACAUAUGCACCUUACAAAGGGCUGCAAGCUUUACUACACAGAUGUGUUGGGUGUACAUUUGGUUUUAACAAAUUUGAGACCUUAUCUUUUUUUGUUGGGUUUGCAGCUUUUAUGUCAUUUUAAAUACAUAUGUGUAUGCUGUCAAUACACUAUAGAUUAACAUACACUAGUGUCAAAAACGCUUUUAUAUUAUAAAACGGAGGGAGUAGUCUGAUUUUCUCAACACGUAAUUUUUUUUAAACGGAGGCAAAAGAUUUGGCUCAUUCAUUAAUUAAGCAGAAAAGAACUGCCCAGUUAAUUAAUGAAAAACCAGGCGAAAAUCAUCACAAACUACUGAGUGACACCAAUGAAAGACCUACACGCGCCACUCACAAGAGGGCCUCGUCAAGACUGCACGUCGACAUCAUCGCCAUCACUUCUCCCCUAGAGGCAUCAUUGCCAUCUCAAACUAUGAGAAACGACUCCAACUUCACCUCAAGAGGGCCUCGUCAAGACCGCACCUCGAGCGUCAUCACCAUCACUUCUCCCCUAGAGGUGUCAUCGCCAUCCCAAACUCUGAAAAACAACUCUGACUUCGCCAAAGGCGAUCAUCAAACCAACCCACCCUGAAUAGGCCGUGCGGAAUCACAUGAAGAUCCACAUCGGACCUCAGCCACUACAACAAGAAAGCACAGCUCUAACACCAACAGAGAGCUACGAAUGAACCAAGCAGCUGUGAAGUCGAAGCUACAGUGGCAGGGCCCGGUGGCAUAUGCUGACGAGUAGGUGGUCCGUUCGGUGAUCUUCCUCAACACGUAGUAUGACUUCAGUGCACACGACACAGUAUAUGCCCCCAUGGAGACCGACAACAGAACAACAGUUCCACAAGCAUGAGCACACUUGAAUUCAGGUGAGAGUGUGACCACUCCCAUUCCUGUCACGUAGAAAGAAGAAAACUCCCGUUUCGUACAGAAAUUCCAUGAGAAGCAAAAUGGCGUCACGUCGUAUUAUUUGUAUUCUUCGUUCUACGAAUCAGCAAAACCAGAUCACGACUCGGACACGAUUCACAUGGAGCACCUAUCUCACGCUUUUUCGACGC